rnacentral:rRNA from 1 species
CCUACGGGAGGCAGCAGUGGGGAAUAUUGGACAAUGGGGGGAACCCUGAUCCAGCCAUGCCGCGUGUGUGAAGAAGUAUUUCGGUAUGUGAAGCUCUAUCAGCAGGGAAGAAAGUGACGGUACCUGAGUAAGAAGCCCCGGCUAACUACGUGCCAGCAGCCGCGGUAAU